rnacentral:rRNA from 1 species
UAAUACGUAGGUGGCAAGCGUUGUCCGGAAUUACUGGGCGUAAAGGGUGCGUAGGCGGUUCAUUAAGUGGGAUGUGAAAUACCCGGGCUUAACCUGGGAACUGCAUUCCAAACUGGUGAGCUAGAGUGCAGGAGAGGAAAGUGGAAUUCCCAGUGUAGCGGUGAAAUGCGUAGAGAUUGGGAGGAACACCAGUGGCGAAGGCGACUUUCUGGACUGUAACUGACGCUGAUGCACGAAAGUGUGGGGAGCAAACAGGAUUAGAUACCCUGGUAGUCCACACUGUAAACUAUGAGUACUAGGUGUAGGGGGCGAAGCCCUCUGUGCCGCAGUUAACACAUUAAGUACUCCGCCUGGGAAGUACGAUCGCAAGAUUAAAACUCAAAUGAAUUGACGG